rnacentral:rRNA from 1 species
UACGUAGGCCGCAAGCGUUGUUCGGAUUUACUGGGCGUAAAGGGUGUGUAGGCGGUUUGCUAAGUGUGGUGUGAAAUCUCCCGGCUCAACUGGGAGGGUGCGCUACAAACUGUCUGACUAGAGUGUGGGAUGGGUAAGUGGAAUUCCUGGUGUAGAGGUGAAAUUCGUAGAUAUUCGCAAGAACACCAGUGGCGAAGGCGGUUCUCUGGGCCUGACCUGACGCUGAGGAGCGAAAGCGUGGGGAGCGAACAGG